AUACGGAGGAUGCGAGCGUUAUCCGGAUUUAUUGGGUUUAAAGGGAGCGUAGGCGGGAUAUUAAGUCAGAUGUGAAAGUUUGGGGCUCAACCUUAAAAUUGCAGUUGAUACUGGUUUCCUUGAGUACGGUACAGGUGGGCGGAAUUCGUGGUGUAGCGGUGAAAUGCUUAGAUAUCACGAAGAACUCCGAUCGCGAAGGCAGCUCACCGGGCCGGAACUGACACUGAUGCUCGAAAGUGCGGGUAUCAAACAGGAUUAGAUACCCUGGUAGUCCGCACAGUAAACGAUGAAUACUCGCUGUUUGCGAUACACGGUAAGCGGCCAAGCGAAAGCGUUAAGUAUUCCACCUGGGGAGUACGCCGGCAACGGUGAAACUCAAAUGAAUUGACGGGG
rnacentral:rRNA from 1 species